GGAGUCUAGCAUGUGCGCGAGUCAUUGGGACUUGCUUAGCUAAACCUAAAGGCGAAAUGAAAGUGAAGGCGCGCCUCGCGCGCGCCUAGGGAGGAUGGGCGACUCGCCUUAGGUCCGUUCGCGGGCCGACGGCAGAAGCCCCGCACUCCCGGGGCGUCUCGUUCUCAUCGCGAGAAGAGGCGCACCCAGAGCGUACACGCUGGGACCCGAAAGAUGGUGAACUAUGCCUGGUCAGGACGAAGUCAGGGGAAACCCUGAUGGAGGUCCGUAGCGAUUCUGACGUGCAAAUCGAUCGUCGGAACUGGGUAUAGGGGCGAAAGACUAAUCGAACCAUCUAGUAGCUGGUUCCCUCCGAAGUUUCCCUCAGGAUAGCUGGCGCUCGUCGUUGGCGAGUCUCAUCCGGUAAAGCGAAUGAUUAGAGGCAUUGGGGUCGAAACGGCCUCAACCUAUUCUCAAACUUUAAAUGGGUGAGAUCUCCGGCUUGCUCGAACGGUGAAGCCGCGAGAUCGGAUCAGAGUGCCAAGUGGGCCACUUUUGGUAAGCAGAACUGGCGCUGUGGGAUGAACCAAACGCGGAGUUAAAGCGCCUAAAUCGACGCUUAUGGGAUACCAUGAAAGGCGUUGGUAACUUAAGACAGCAGGACGGUGGCCAUGGAA
rnacentral:rRNA from 1 species